rnacentral:siRNA from 1 species
UGUUGAGUGCUAGAACUGGUC